rnacentral:rRNA from 1 species
GACGAAACGCUGGCGGCGUGGAUUAGGCAUGCAAGUCGAACGGUAUCAUCCUUUCGGGGGUGAGAGAGUGGCGAACUGGUGAGUAACACGUAGGUUAUCUACCCUCAAGACGGGGACAACCCAGGGAAACUUGGGCUAAUACCGGAUGUGAGCAACUUUUAGUUGUUUGAAAGGUGGCGUAAGCUGUCGCUUGGGGAUGAGCCUGCGUCCUAUUAGUUAGUUGGUGAGGUAACGGCUCACCUAGGCAAUGAUAGGUAGGCGGCCUUAACGGGUGGUCGCCCACACUGGGAUUGAGAUACGGCCCAGACUCCUACGGGAGGCAGCAGUCGAGAAUAGUCUACAAUGGUCGGAAGACUGAUAGUGCGACGCCGCGUGAACGAUGAAUCCCUUCGGGUGUAAAGUUCUUUUAUAUGUGAGCAGUGCUUCUUAUAUUAACAGUAUGGGGAGAGAGAUAUUAGCAUAUGAAUAAGCAACGGCUAACUCCGUGCCCAGCAGCCGCGGUAAAA